rnacentral:rRNA from 1 species
AUUGAACGCUGGCGGCAUGCCCUACACAUGCAAGUCGAACGGCAGCACGGGCUUCGGUCUGGUGGCGAGUGGCGAACGGGUGAGUAAUGUAUCGGAACGUACCUUAGAGUGGGGGAUAACGUAGCGAAAGUUACGCUAAUACCGCAUAUUCUGUGCGCAGGAAAGCAGGGGAUCGCAAGACCUUGUGCUCUUUGAGCGGCCGAUAUCAGAUUAGCUAGUUGGUGAGGUAAAAGCUCACCAAGGCGACGAUCUGUAGCGGGUCUGAGAGGAUGAUCCGCCACACUGGAACUGAGACACGGUCCAGACUCCUACGGGAGGCAGCAGUGGGGAAUUUUGGACAAUGGGGGCAACCCUGAUCCAGCCAUGCCGCGUGAGUGAAGAAGGCCUUCGGGUUGUAAAGCUCUUUCAGCCGGGAAGAAAUCGCAUAGGUUAAUACCCUGUGCGGAUGACGGUACCGGAAUAAGAAGCACCGGCUAACUACGUGCCAGCAGCCGCUGUAACAC